UCCAGGGUAUAAAUAUUACGAAAUUUCCUUUUCAUUUGUUUUUUUCUUUCUUCUGUUUGCAUGUAGUUUUUGGUAGAACUAGUUUCGAGCCUCCAUCUGCGUCAAGAUCUGCGAAGACAUGGUGGUGAUAGCUCGUGGGACGCCGUCCGAAAGGCUCGAAUGGGAAGCCAAAGAGUGAUCAUCUCCAUCUUCGUCGGCGCUAACAAGAUCUGGUCAAAUCCACCUUUUUCUCAGUCUUUUCAUUCUUCUCUGGUGCUGGGUUCCCUUGCGUCCUCUCCGGUGAGCAGCAAGCGGUGCACCUCUUAGACCUCAGCUUGUUUGUUCUCAGCCAGAUCUGGCUUCUGUAGAUGAGCAUCGUUUUUCAUAGAUCCUGUGAUUGCAUGUGCUUUGAUUGGGCAAGGGUGCUUCCUUCUAGACAACGAUCUUUGGUUUGUUCUCAUUUGGGUUUAAGUGAACAUUUUAUGCUUUUUCAGCUGAUGUAGCAGGAGAUCCUUCACCGUCGUUCUGAUUCGAUCGCUUUUCAGAGGAUGAGCAACUUAGGUUUUCUUAGUUCCACCAGAUCCUUCUCUCCGGGUUGAGCGGGUUAUUUUAGGGCUCCUCCUUUGGGCUUAGUUGUUGGUGUUGUUUUAAUUGGGCCUUGGAGGCAAUGAAAUUCUUUUAUCUUCCGAUAAAAAAAAAAAGUAUUUUUUAUGUAAAGCCUAAAUAUAAUAUUUAAUAAAUAAUAUUUUAUAUAAUUAAUUAGUAAAAUCAAUGCAUUUAUUAUAGGUUUAUAAUUUGUAAUUUAAAUAUUUUACUAUUAAAAUUAUACAAUACAAUUAUAUUAAUUAUGUUAUGUGUGUAUUUAUG
rnacentral:lncRNA from 1 species